UACGUAGGGGGCGAGCGUUGUCCGGAAUUAUUGGGCGUAAAGAGCUCGUAGGCGGUUCGGCAAGUCACGUGUGAAAUCUCCACGCUCAACGUGGAGGCGCCACGUGAGACUGCUGUGACUCGAGUCCGGUAGGGGAGCGUGGAAUUCCCGGUGUAGCGGUGAAAUGCGUAGAUAUCAGGAGGAACACCGAUGGCGAAGGCAGGUCUCUGGGCUAACACUGACGCUCAUGCACGAAAGCGUGGGGAGCAAACAGG
rnacentral:rRNA from 1 species